AGAACGAACGCUGGCGGCAUGCCUAAUACAUGCAAGUCGAACGAACACUUCGGUGUUAGUGGUGCACGGGUGCGUAACGCGUGGGAAUCUGCCCUUGGGUUCGGAAUAACAGUUGGAAACGACUGCUAAUACCGGAUGAUAUCGAAAGAUCAAAGAUUUAUCGCCCAGGGAUGAGCCCGCGUAGGAUUAGCUAGUUGGUGAGGUAAAGGCUCACCAAGGCGACGAUCCUUAGCUGGUCUGAGAGGAUGAUCAGCCACACUGGGACUGAGACACGGCCCAGACUCCUACGGGAGCAGCAGUAGAGAAUAUUGGACAAGUGGGCGCAAGCCUGAUCCGAGCAAUCGCCGCGUGAGUGAUGAAGGCCUUAGGGUUGUAAGCUUCUUUACCCGAGAUGAUAAUGAC
rnacentral:rRNA from 1 species